rnacentral:rRNA from 1 species
UACGAAGGGGGCUAGCGUUGCUCGGAAUCACUGGGCGUAAAGGGCGCGUAGGCGGCCUCUGCAAGUCGACUGUGAAAUCUCCGGGCUUAACCCGGAAAGGUCAGCCGAUACUGCAGGGCUAGAGUGCAGAAGGGGCAACUGGAAUUCUCGGUGUAGCGGUGAAAUGCGUAGAUAUCGAGAGGAACACCUGCGGCGAAGGCGGGUUGCUGGGCUGACACUGACGCUGACAGCGCGAAAGCUAGGGGAGCGAACGGG